rnacentral:tRNA from 1 species
GCCGCGGUGGUGGAAUCGGUAGACACGAAGGACUUAAAAUCCUUUGCCCUUAUCCGGCGUGUGGGUUCAAGUCCCACCCGCGGCA